UGAGUAGUAAACGCUGAACGGGAAGCGAGGUUAGUUAAAUCCAACUGCAGGAGAGGAAAAAAGAGUCCUUUUCUUCCGGAGAGGAGAGGGUACACAGAGGAUGCCUGUCCACUGACCAAACCUGCCCUGAGCAUCACCAUUGACGCUUUCGUUCAUUCAAAAAACAAAGUUAAUUCAGCAGGUGCUCUAUGCCAGGCACUGACUUGGUAUGGGGGAUAAUGAAGGAAAUAAAACCGAGAUCCCUGUCUUUGGAGAACAUACUUCCUAAUAGGGAGAUUAACAGUAAACACAAUAAAAGCAUGUGAUCUUUCUUUUUUUCACUCCACCUUUCCCCCAUCAAAUGAGGAAGGAAAGCUCAAGCAGUUUACUAUUUUGGGAAAAUUGUGCCAUCGUGCUUAGUACAUAGUGUGUAUCAGACUUAAGAAAAGGACAAGAAUGAAACUAUUAAAAAAAUUUCUCCAACUGGCAAUUAAAAGACAAUGGGAA
rnacentral:lncRNA from 1 species